rnacentral:rRNA from 1 species
UACGAAGGGUGCAAACGUUGCUCGGAAUUAUUGGGCGUAAAGCGCACGUAGGCGGCUUUGCAAGUCGGAUGUGAAAUCCCUCGGCUUAACCAAGGAAGUGCAUCCGAAACUGCAGAGCUUGAGUACUUAAGAGGAUCGCGGAAUUCCCGGUGUAGAGGUGAAAUUCGUAGAGAUGUGGAGGAACACCGAUGGCGAAGGCAGCCCCCUGGGUUAACACUGACGCUCAGGCACGAAAGCGUGGGGAGCAAACAGG